AAUAUGUUAAUAUUGAAUAAACUUAUUAGAAAUUAAAAUUAUUCUAUUGCUAUAUUUUCUUCACUCUGUAUAUUGAAUAUGUACUUUCAUAAACAGCUACUCUCAACCACCCUGUAUUCCCCCAAACCUCACGGACAAUUAUCUCCCACCCUCUGCGUUCUCCCACAGCCUCUCUCGGUUGGAAGGCCAUAAAGCCCCAAAAGACAGAAGAAGGAGAAGUUCAUAGGUUUCGACAUGUCGAAUUCAGGCAAGGAAAAACAACAAGGUCUAGAAUCUAAAAGCCCCAAAAAUAACAAGAAGAGAAUAGAAAUACAAGGGUACCCAGUGGAGGGAUUGUCCAUAGCAGGACAUGAGACCUGCAUCAUUUUUCCUACUCUCAAAUUAGCUUUUGAUAUUGGCAAAUGUCCACAACGUGCAAUUUCUCAGGAUUUCCUUUUAAUUUCCCAUGGCCACAUGGAUCAUAUUGGUGGAUUGCCCAUGUAUGUUGCAACUCGAGGCUUAUAUGGGAUGAAGCCCCCAACAAUAAUUGUGCCAACUGCUAUUAAAAAGAAUGUAGAACAACUUUUUGAGGUGCAUAGGAAAAUGGAUCAUUCAGAGCUGAAGCAUAAUCUUGUUGGCCUGGACGUGGGAGAAGAAUUUUAUUUAAGAAGGGACCUGAAAGUAAGAGCUUUCAGGACUUACCAUGUCAUACAAAGCCAAGGCUAUGUAGUUUACUCCAUAAAACAGAAACUCAAGCAUGAAUACCUUGGCCUUUCUGCAAAUGAACUUAAGAACUUGAAGUCAUCCGGUGAAGAGAUUACAAAUACCGUGACAGCACCUGAAGUUGCAUUUACUGGAGAUACAACAUCUGAUUUUAUAGUUGAUGAAGCUAAUGCUGAUGUUCUUAGCGCCAAGAUUCUUGUCAUGGAGAGCACCUUUGUUGAUGAGUCAGUGGAGGUGGUGCAUGCAAGAGAUUAUGGACAUAUGCAUCUGUCUGAGGUAGUCAACUAUGCAGACAGGUUUAAAAACAAAGCAAUUCUUCUUAUUCACUUUUCAGCGCGAUAUAUGUUGGAGGCCCAUCUUCUAGGGGGUUGUCGUCAUCAAGUGACGGGAGUAUGGUUUCUAGGAGGCUACCUUAUUCUCCAUCGCUUUGUGGUCUAUCAGGAAAUUCAAAAAGCUGUAUCUGCAUUAUCUCCUCCACUGGCUGGCAGAGUUUUUGCACUUACAGAGGGUUUCGAUGGAUGGAGCGGAGAAAAGAACAUUUGAUAUAAGCGUGCUUUUGUAUUCUAAUGUCAAGAGUCACUUUACUCGCUGCUUCUUUGGUUUUGGCAGUUCAUAUAUACACACAUACACGCGUACAUAUUCUGUGUAGAGAUUGUUGGUAAGUUCUUUUUAUGGAGAAUUCUGUUCGUUUCGAAAGCGAUACGCUCUGUCAUCAAGAUUAUGUUUGGAUUAAGGGAAUCAAGGAGAAACGGAUGGAAGAAGAGACGAGUACGGGACUGGUGUAAACAGAAAGUUAUAAAUUUGAAAUAGGAACAUAGCAUGUAUGAAUUUAAUAAUAAU